UAAGUUGAGGCAGCGCAAAGUGGCCA
rnacentral:misc_RNA from 1 species